rnacentral:tRNA from 1 species
GCACCAGUGUUGUAGGGGUAUCAUGCAAAAUUCCCAUUCUUAUGACCUGGGUUCAAGUCCCGGCUGGCGCA